rnacentral:rRNA from 1 species
CCUACGGGAGGCAGCAGUAAGGAAUAUUGGACAAUGCUCGCAAGAGUGAUCCAGCCAUGCCGCGUGCAGGAAGAAUGCCCUAUGGGUAGUAAACUGCUUUUGAACUAGAGAAAACCCCAGUACGUGUACUGGGCUGAUAGUAUAGUUAGAAUAAGCAUCGGCUAACUUCGUGCCAGCAGCCGCGGUAAGACGAAGGAUGCAAGCGUUAUCCGGGAUUCAUUGGGUUUAAAGGGAGCGUAGGUGGACUGAUAAGUCAGUGGUGAAAUCUCCGAGCUUAACUCGGAAAUUGCCAUUGAUACUGUUGGUCUUGAGUACAGUUGCUGUGGGCGGAAUAUGACAUGUAGUGGUGAAAUACAUAGAGAUGUCAUAGAACACCGAUUGCGAAGGCAGCUCACAAAGCUGUAACUGACACUGAGGCUCGAAAGUGCGGGGAUCAAACAGGAUUAGAUACCCUGGUAGUCCGCACCGUAAACGAUGAUUACCUCGCUGCGUAGGGGCGUACCGUUACGUUGGUCGUUAGUACGAAGACGAGUAAGUAAGUACCGACCCGUACGGGAGGUACGGCCCGGGCCGGAACCGGUACGGUAAACGUACGAAACGUAAGUAAGUUAGGUACGGACGGUUGGAGGACGUUACGGCCGGACGGACGACGACGAGGGGAGGUAGGG